AUGGACUGGUCUCUGCUUUUGCUUGCCCUUUUCACUUACUGCUCAGGGGCCAGUUCUCAGGCCACGUUGACUCAGCCUGCCUCGGUGUCUGUGUCCCUGGGCCAAACAGCAACACUCUCCUGCACCAGAAGCAGUGGAGGUAGCUGGAACGACUGGUACAACUGGCAUCAACAGAAACCUGGACAGGCUCCUCGUCUUGUGUUCUCUGGCAGCGGCAGGAGGGGUGAAGGGAUCCCAGACCGAUUCACCAGUUAUUUCACUGGGAAUGUGGCUCACUUAACUAUCACGAACAGCCAGGCUGAAGAUGAGGCACGCUAUUACUGUUGCGACUGGUAUCGCCCCAGUGGUGGCAUGUCCCACAGUGUCAGUUCCCAGGCGUUGACUCAGCCUGCCUCAGCAUCUGUGUCCCUGGGCCAAACUGCUAAACUCUCCUGCUCAAGAAGUGGUGCUGAUAGCUGGGAUGACAUUCACUGGUCUCAAAAGAAACCUGGACAGGCUCCUCGCUUCCUGUGGUAUGGUAGCAGCACCAGGGGUGAAGGGGUCCCAGAUCGGUUCACUGGUUCUUACUCUGGGAACACAGGCCAUUUAACCAUCACCAACAUCCAGGCUGAAGACGAGGCUGAUUAUUACUGUAGCGAUGCAUAUCGUAGUGGUGGUUUUUGGCUGUCCCACAGCGAUUCAUUCUAA